GAUGGGAAAACGCAUACAACAAUUCAAGCAUUCUUCAAAAGUUCUUUACAUGAACAACACAAUAAAGAUACAAUCAAAGAUCAUUAAGCAUUAUGAAUACUAUAAGUAUUGACGAGGCAUUCGUUACUAUGAUGAGCAUGAAACUCCUGCCAAGAAUUUAUUUAACGCGAUCGUUUAUAAGCGACCUCCACUACUUGUGAAUAUAAGUUUGUAACUAUUAGGUGAAACACCCUUAUACUCUAGCAUCAUAUUCAUGCAUGCAAACUAAGUGUGCACUCUUAAUAAACAUACACGAAUAAGUUAUCAAUCAAGCAGUUAAACAAAUUGAAUUCACAACUUAUGAAAUAACAACUGAAGGUAAUC
rnacentral:lncRNA from 1 species